GAAGCUGCAAUACAUCUGAAAUGAGACAAAACUUGUUUGGAAAAAGAAGGGAGAGAGAUGGCUUCCUGAAUUCAUACUGGAUAACGAUUAUAUAGAAAAUAUUUAUUUGAAAGACAAAAUCUACCCAAGAUUCAAACUGCUAAUAGAAAUUUCAUCAAGAUUCAAAAUGGCUUAUAAAUAUUUCUUGAAGCUUUCCUUUUGUUGGCAAAAUAUCUGAGUUUUCAUGUGUAGACAAAAAUGAAGAAUCUGUAUUUCACACAUAAAAAAAUCUGCGUCAAUUUUUGAGAAACACACGCAAUAGCAUUUUGAUAUCUUCUCAAGAAGUCUAUAAGAAUAUAUCACAUCCAGCUACACUGGAAUAAGGAGUGAAGGAGUGAAAGGUGGUUGAAGAUCUGCAAGUAAGAGAUAAAAAUGGAUGAUAAAACAGUGAGACAUCAGGGUGAAUGAAGGAGAUGCUAUAACAAAGAUAUGUAUAUAUUUCUUUGUCUCAUUCAGUAGAAGUGAAUAAAAUGAAAAAGAGUUGGGAAAAUCAAGUCCUGUAAAGUCUGUGGAAAAAUAUAUCAGUAACACCGCAAUUUGAGUUAUGCCACUAUUCCAGUGGAACCUAAGCUAUUGAAGUAUCUCCAUGAAAUACCCAGAAGGAGUAAGAAAGUUCAUGCCAAUGCUCCCAGCUGUGUGUAAUAUUGCUGCAUGUUAAUCAGGGUUUCUCAGACUUCUGUAGAAUUGUGGGGUAUGAGUAGAAAAGGAAAGUGAGGAUAAGUGAAUUGACACAGCUCAAGCAAUGCUGAGUUAUUUCUCCUUCAGCCUGCCAUUCUUAGAAAUUAAUAACAGACCCAUAAUCUUCAAGAUUUACAGUAAUGUCUGGACUGCUCUGUGACCAGAGUUGAAAAUAAGAAUGCCUCUAUUCUGUGCAUGCAUUGCACUCAAAUCAUGUGCUGUAUGUUCUGUGCUAGGUGAUGUAAAUGAGCGUGUUUAUUUUAAGACAUGAAUAAAUAAUAUUGUUUC
rnacentral:lncRNA from 7 species